UACGAAGGGUGCAAGCGUUAAUCGGAAUUACUGGGCGUAAAGGGUGCGUAGGCGGUUGUUUAAGUCUGUCGUGAAAUCCCCGGGCUCAACCUGGGAAUGGCGAUGGAUACUGGGCAGCUAGAGUGUGUCAGAGGAUGGUGGAAUUCCCGGUGUAGCGGUGAAAUGCGUAGAGAUCGGGAGGAACAUCAGUGGCGAAGGCGGCCAGCUGGGACAACACUGACGCUGAAGCACGAAAGCGUGGGGAGCAAACAGG
rnacentral:rRNA from 1 species